CGCCCCACCCCUUACAAACAUCAUCAUCACCGCUCUACCUAAAUCAGGAAGCACCGAGUUACGUUUGUGUUUCUUCUUUCCUUUCCCUUUCAUGAAAAAAAGAAAAGACGCGGAGACUCCAGUGAUUACGGCGCCGGAGAAACCAUACAGGGGAGGAAAAAAAGGGCGUUAUUGUUGGUGUUGGUGACGACCACCGUCGACCACUGUUGACAGGGAGAAGACUGACAGUUGGUUACAUCCAGUACGAGGCUGAGCUGUGGAUGCAUCUGACACAGACCAACCGGAGAAGAAGGGAUUAUAAAACGACCUGACAUCGGACCUGACAGCAAGAUUUAUGCAGCAGCAAGUCUCUCUCAGCAGCAUGGGCCAACAUCUAGGAAAGAGGGAGUCACCUGUGGACAGCAAGGCUCCAUCACCUGAACCCGAAGUGGAUCCGACAGCAGCAGAAGAAGUAGAAGUAGAGACUGAAGCACAAGAUGAAGUCUUCGGUAAGUGGUCACAACACACGUCUUAAAUUCAGCUUUACAUGCAUGUAGACAUUUAUUACACUUCGGUCAAUGAACAUAGUCUGGCAACCUUUGAGCAAACUAACCAACAGUAAUAUAAUCUGUAAAAGCAGCUUCA